rnacentral:misc_RNA from 1 species
GUGAAUCAUCAAAUCUUUGAACGCAAAUUGCGCUUCCUGGUAUCCCGGGAAGUAUGCCUGUUUGAGGGUCAGUAUUAAUAAAAUAUCGGUUUAGUUAUAAUUUGUGACGUUUCCGGAGUUUGGGCUAUCUUAACAUUUUUGGUUAAGAGGCUUAUAAUUGACCUUUUUAGCGCAUUUUUAAACUUCCAUAAAUUUUUUUUUUAGAUUAAUUUUAAUUCCAAACUCUUUAUAGAUGUGC